rnacentral:rRNA from 1 species
UACGAAGGGGGCUAGCGUUGCUCGGAAUCACUGGGCGUAAAGGGUGCGUAGGCGGGUCUUUAAGUCAGGGGUGAAAUCCUGGAGCUCAACUCCAGAACUGCCUUUGGUACUGAAGAUCUUGAGUUCGGGAGAGGUGAGUGGAACUGCGAGUGUAGAGGUGAAAAUUCGUAGAUAUUCGCAAGAACACCAGUGGCGAAGGCGGCUCACUGGCCCCGAUAUGAC